UAAGGAAUAUUGGUCAAUGGACGCAAGUCUGAACCAGCCAUGCCGCGUGAAGGAUGAAGGUCCUCUGGAUUGUAAACUUCUUUUAUCUGGGACGAAAACGGGAUUUUUAUCUCAAUUGACGGUACCAGAGGAAUAAGCACCGGCUAACUCCGUGCCAGCAGCCGCGGUAAUACGGAGGGUGCGAGCGUUAUCCGGAUUUACUGGGUUUAAAGGGUGCGUAGGUGGGCUUAUAAGUCAGUGGUGAAAUCUCCGAGCUUAACUUGGAAACUGCCGUUGAUACUAUAGGUCUUGAAUUAUCUGGAGGUUAGCGGAAUAUGUCAUGUAGCGGUGAAAUGCUUAGAUAUGACAUAGAACACCAAUUGCGAAGGCAGCUUACUACAGAUAAAUUGACGCUGAGGCACGAAAGCGUGGGGAUCAAACA
rnacentral:rRNA from 1 species